UCGGGAAUUUUGGGCAAUGGGGGAAACCCUGACCCAGCAACGCCGCGUGAAGGAUGAAGUAUUUCGGUAUGUAAACUUCGAAAGAAUAGGAAGAAUAAAUGACGGUACUAUUUAUAAGGUCCGGCUAACUACGUGCCAGCAGCCGCGGUAAUACGUAGGGACCAAGCGUUGUUCGGAUUUACUGGGCGUAAAGGGCGCGUAGGCGGCAUGACAAGUCACUUGUGAAAUCUCUGGGCUUAACCCAGAACGGCCAAGUGAUACUGUCGCGCUAGAGUGCAGAAGGGGCAAUCGGAAUUCUUGGUGUAGCGGUGAAAUGCGUAGAUAUCAAGAGGAACACCUGAGGCGAAGGCGGGUUGCUGGGCUGAUACUGACGCUGAAGCGCGAAAGCUAGGGUAGCAAACGGGAUUAGAUACCCAAGUAGUCCCUGAGCGGGCUGGCAAGGCGCAU
rnacentral:rRNA from 1 species